UCCGUAGGCGGGCAAUUAAGUCAGAGGUGAAAUCCCACAGCUCAACUGUGGAACUGCCUUUGAUACUGGUUGUCUUGAGUUAUAGUGAAGUAGAUAGAAUAUGUAGUGUAGCGGUGAAAUGCAUAGAUAUUACAUAGAAUACCGAUUGCGAAGGCAGUCUACUAACUGUACACUGACGCUAAUGGACGAAAGCGUGGGGAGCGAACAGGAUUAGAUACCCUGGUAGUC
rnacentral:rRNA from 1 species